AACGCUAGCGACAGGCCUAACACAUGCAAGUUCAGGGGCAGCGAGGAUGUAGCAAUACAUUUGUCGGCGACCGGCGCACGGGUGAGUAACACGUAUGCAACCUGCCCGCCACAGGGGGAUAAACGCUGGAAACGGCGCCUAAUACCCCCAUACUAUCGCUAUGCUGCAUGGCAUGGCGAUGAAAACUCCGGUGGUGGCGGAUGGGCAUGCGGCGCAUUAGCUAGUUGGUGAGGUAACGGCUCACCAAGGCGACGAUGCAUAGGGGUUCUGAGAGGAAGGUCCCCCACACUGGUACUGAGACACGGUCCAGACUCCUACGGGAGGCAGCAGUGAGGAAUAUUGGUCAAUGGGCGAGAGCCUGAACCAGCCAAGUAGCGUGAAGGAUGACUGCCCUAUGGGUUGUAAACUUCUUUGUUCGGGAAUAAAGUGCAGUAUGUAUACUGUUUGUAUGUACCGUUCGAAUAAGCAUCGGCUAAUUCCGUG
rnacentral:rRNA from 1 species